UACGAAGGGGGCUAGCGUUGCUCGGAAUUACUGGGCGUAAAGGGCGCGUAGGCGGCUUGGCAAGUGGAAGGUGAAAUCCCUCGGCUUAACCGAGGAACUGCCCUCCAAACUGCUUGGCUUGAGACCGGGAGAGGUGAGUGGAAUUCCCAGUGUAGCGGUGAAAUGCGUAGAUAUUGGGAGGAACACCAGUGGCGAAGGCGGCUCACUGGACCGGUACUGACGCUGAUGCGCGAAAGCGUGGGGAGCAAACGGG
rnacentral:rRNA from 1 species